rnacentral:rRNA from 1 species
CAAGGAAUUUUCCGCAAUGGGGGCAACCCUGACGGAGCAACGCCGCGUGCUGGAUGACGCUUUUCGGAGUGUAAACCGCUUUUCUCGGGGAGGAUGGAGGACAGUACCCGAGGAAGAAGGCCCGGCUAACUACGUGCCAGCAGCCGCGGUAAUACGUAGGGGCCGAGCGUUGUCCGGAGUUAUUGGGCGUAAAGCGUGCGCAGGCGGCCUCGCGCGCCCGACGUGAAAGCCCCCGGCUUAACCGGGGAGGGUCGUUGGGGACGGCGGUGCUUGCGGGCGGGAGAGGUCGGUGGAAUUCCCGGUGUAGUGGUGAAAUGCGUAGAGAUCGGGAGGAACACCUGUGGCGAAGGCGGCCGACUGGGCCGACCCUGACGCUGAGGCGCGAAGGGGUGGGGAGCGAACGGG